rnacentral:lncRNA from 1 species
UGGAUUUUGAGUGAAAUCCAAUCUCUACAACUAUGCAAUACGCCAACGACUACAUUUCAUAACGAACUUCGUACGAACCUAAAUUGUCCAAUUUGAUGGACCAAUGGAUAUCGGAUUGAGUCCAAAACUUGAGGAACACCGUAAUACGAUGGGUGGAGUCAUUUGGUGAGUUUUGAAUGAAAUCCAAUGGCUAAAACUAUGCAGUACACCAC